rnacentral:rRNA from 1 species
GGAAGGAUCAUUACCGAAUCACCAACACGAGUUGUUGCUGGUCCUCAAAUGGGGGCAUGUGCACACUCUGUUUGUGCAUCCACUCACACCUGUGCACCCUCCGUAGUUCUGCAGCCUGGGGGCUCCGUCCCCCUACUGUGGUUCUAUGUAUUUACACACACACACUGUAAUAAAGUCUUAUGGAAUGUAUGCCGCGUCUAACGCAAUACAAUACAACUUUCAGCAACGGAUCUCUUGGCUCUCGCAUCGAUGAAGAACGCAGCGAAAUGCGAUAAGUAAUGUGAAUUGCAGAAUUCAGUGAAUCAUCGAAUCUUUGAACGCACCUUGCGCCCUUUGGCUAUUCCGAAGGGCAUGCCUGUUUGAGUAUCAUGAACACCUCAACUCUCAUGGCUUGCCAUGAUGAGCUUGGACUUUGGGGGUCUUGCUGGCCUGCGGCCAGCUCCUCUCAAAUGGAUCAGCUUGCCAGUGUUUGGUGGCAUCACAGGUGUGAUAACUAUCUAUGCUUGUGGUUUUCCACCAGGUAACCUUCAGCAAUGAAGGUUCGCUGGGGCUCACAAAAGUCCCUCUCCUCAGCGAGGACAGCUCUAUGAACGUUUGAUCUCAAAUCAGGUAGGACUACCCGCUGAACUUAAGCAUAUCAAUAAGCGGAGGAAAAGAAACUAACAAGGAUUCCCCUAGUAACUGCGAGUGAAGCGGGAAGAGCUCAAAUUUAAAAUCUGACGUGCCUCUGGUCGUCCGAGUUGUAGUCUGGAGAAGCGUUUUCCGUGUUGGACCGUGUAUAAGUCUCUUGGAACAGGGCGUCAUAGAGGGUGAGAAUCCCGUCUUUGACACGGACUACCAAUGCUUUGUGAUGCGCUCUCAAAGAGUCGAGUUGUUUGGGAAUGCAGCUCAAAAUGGGUGGUAAAUUCCAUCUAAAGCUAAAUA